rnacentral:tRNA from 1 species
UCCCUGGUGGCUCAGACGGUAAAGCGUCUGCCUGCAAUGCGGGAGACCCGGGUUUGAUCCCCGGGUUGGGAA